rnacentral:pre_miRNA from 10 species
ACCGAAGGCCUUCUAUGCAGGGCUCUGUGUGAUAUGUUUGAUAUAUUAGGUUGUUUUUCCACUCCAACUAUAUAUCAAACAUAUUCCUACAGUGUCCCGCGCCGUCUACAG